GACGAACGCUGGCGGCGUGCUUAACACAUGCAAGUCGAACGGAAAGGCCUGCUUUCCCUUGUGGAUUGCGGGUACUCGAGUGGCGAACGGGUGAGUAACACGUGAGUGAUCUGCCCCCAACUUGGGUAUAAGCCUGGGAAACUGGGUCUAAUUCCCGAUAGGACUGCAGGGUGGUGCCUGUGGUGGAAAACGAUUUUCUAGUGGUUGGGGAUGAGCUCGCGGCCUAUCAGCUUGUUGGUGGGGGAAUGGCCUACCAAGGCGGCGACGGGUAGCCGGCCUGAGAGGGGGGACGGCCACAUUGGGACUGGGAUACGGCCCAGACUCCUACGGGAGGCAGCAGUGGGGAAUAUUGCACAAUGGGCGGAAGCCUGAUGCAGCGACGCCGCGUGGGGGAUGACGGCCUUCGGGUUGUAAACUCCUUUCGACCGCGAGGAAGCCACCUGGUUGGAAGGGUGGUGACGGUAGUGGUAGAAGAAGCACCGGCUAACUACGUG
rnacentral:rRNA from 1 species